UACAGAGGGGGCAAGCGUUGUUCGGAAUUACUGGGCGUAAAGGGCGCGUAGGCGGUCUUUUAAGUUCCGUGUGAAAUCCCCGGGCUCAACCUGGGAACUGCGCUUGUGACUGCACGGCUAGAGUACGGCAGAGGGGGGUGGAAUUCCUGGUGUAGCAGUGAAAUGCGUAGAUAUCAGGAGGAACAUCGAUGGCGAAGGCAGCCCCCUGGGCCGAUACUGACGCUCAUGCACGAAAGCGUGGGGAGCAAACAGG
rnacentral:rRNA from 1 species